AGUCGGGUCCUAAGCUGAGGCCGACAGGCGUAGGCGAUGGAUAACAGGUUGAUAUUCCUGUACCACCUAUAAUCGUUUUAAUCGAUGGGGGGACGCAGUAGGAUAGGCGAAGCGUGCGAUUGGAUUGCACGUCUAAGCAGUAAGGCUGAGUAUUAGGCAAAUCCGGUACUCGUUAAGGCUAAGCUGUGAUGGGGAGAAGACAUUGUGUCUUCGAGUCGUUGAUUUCACACUGCCGAGAAAAGCCUCUAGAUAGAAAAUAGGUGCCCGUACCGCAAACCGACACAGGUAGUCAAGAUGAGAAUUCUAAGGUGAGCGAGCGAACUCUCGUUAAGGAACUCGGCAAAAUGACCCCGUAACUUCGGGAGAAGGGGUGCUCUUUAGGGUUAACGCCCAGAAGAGCCGCAGUGAAUAGGCCCAAGCGACUGUUUAUCAAAAACACAGGUCUCUGCUAAACCGUAAGGUGAUGUAUAGGGGCUGACGCCUGCCCGGUGCUGGAAGGUUAAGAGGAGUGGUUAGCUUCUGCGAAGCUACGAAUCGAAGCCCCAGUAAACGGCGGCCGUAACUAUAACGGUCCUAAGGUAGCGAAAUUCCUUGUCGGGUAAGUUCCGACCCGCACGAAAGGCGUAACGAUUUGGGCACUGUCUCAACGAGAGACUCGGUGAAAUCAUAGUACCUGUGAAGAUGCAGGUUACCCGCGACAGGACGGAAAGACCCCGUGGAGCUUUACUGUAGCCUGAUAUUGAAAUUCGGCACAGCUUGUACAGGAUAGGUAGGAGCCUUUGAAACGUGAGCGCUAGCUUACGUGGAGGCGCUGGUGGGAUACUACCCUAGCUGUGUU
rnacentral:rRNA from 1 species